rnacentral:rRNA from 1 species
CCUACGGGUGGCUGCAGUGGGGAAUAUUGGACAAUGGGGGCAACCCUGAUCCAGCCAUGCCGCGUGUGUGAAGAAGGCCCUCGGCUUGUAAAGCACUUUCAGUGAGGAAGAACGCCUGGUGGUUAAUACCCAUCAGGAAAGACAUCACUCACAGAAGAAGCACCGGCUAACUCCGUGCCAGCAGCCGCGGUAAUACGGAGGGUGCGAGCGUUAAUCGGAAUUACUGGGCGUAAAGCGCGCGUAGGUGGCUUGAUAAGCCGGUUGUGAAAGCCCCGGGCUCAACCUGGGAACGGCAUCCGGAACUGUCAAGCUAGAGUGCAGGAGAGGAAGGUAGAAUUCCCGGUGUAGCGGUGAAAUGCGUAGAGAUCGGGAGGAAUACCAGUGGCGAAGGCGGCCUUCUGGACUGACACUGACACUGAGGUGCGAAAGCGUGGGUAGCAAACAGGAUUAGAUACCCCGGUAGUC